AUUGAACGCUGGCGGAAUGCUUUACACAUGCAAGUCGAGCGGCAGCGCGGGGCAACCUGGCGGCGAGCGGCGAACGGGUGAGUAAUACAUCGGAACGUACCCAGUUGUGGGGGAUAGCCCGGCGAAAGCCGGAUUAAUACCGCAUACGACCUGAGGGUGAAAGCGGGGGAUCGCAAGACCUCGCGCAAUUGGAGCGGCCGAUGGCGGAUUAGCUAGUUGGUAGGGUAAAGGCCUACCAAGGCGACGAUCCGUAGCGGGUCUGAGAGGACGGCCCGCCCAACUGGAACUGCGACACGGUCCAGACUCCUACGGGAGGCAGCAGUGGGGAAUUUUGGACAAUGGGGGAAACCCUGAUCCAGCCAUUCCGCGUGAGUGAAGAAGGCCUUCGGGUUGUAAAGCUCUUUCGGCAGGGACGAAACGGUGGGUCCUAAUACGAUCUGCUAAUGACGGUACCUGAAGAAGAAGCACCGGCUAACUACGUGCCAGCCGCCGCCGUAACAC
rnacentral:rRNA from 1 species